UUUUACUGUUUGCAGUUGGUCUAUCCAAUACACCAACCUACAAAAUGUGCCUAAUUAAGUUUUAGAAUUUCGAGCCGAUCAUACUUUUUAAAUAUUAACAUUUGUCUUUGUUUCAGGUAAGAGACUGAAUACUACUCUACCAACUAAUGGCUACGGUCAGUCAAUCCCAUUGUUGCCUAAAAUUGAUAAUAUCAAAGUUGUAACCAACCAAUUAAAAUGUAGAUCACAUACUUUUCGAAGCUUCAGCACCAAUCAAAAUCCAGUCACGUAAAGAUCACUCAAGCGGGCAAUUUCUUCAGCAUCUUGUCUUGAUCUUCGUGAGCAUAGUUUCUUGUGUAUUAUUUAGUUGUCAAAUAAAUGUAAAGCAAGUUGACAAUACAAUACAUCCGAGGACAAA